CAGUCGCCACGGUAAUACGGAGGGAGCUAGCGUUAUUCGGAAUUACUGGGCGUAAAGCGCACGUAGGCGGCUUUGUAAGUAAGAGGUGAAAGCCCAGAGCUCAACUCUGGAAUUGCCUUUUAGACUGCAUCGCUUGAAUCAUGGAGAGGUCAGUGGAAUUCCGAGUGUAGAGGUGAAAUUCGUAGAUAUUCGGAAGAAUACCAGUGGCGAAGGCGGCUGACUGGACAUGUAUUGACGCUGAGGUGCGAAAGCGUGGGGAGCAAACAGGAUUAGAUACCCCAGUAGUCCCUGUCUCUUAUAC
rnacentral:rRNA from 1 species